CCCUACGGGCGCAGCAGUGGGGAAUAUUGCACAAUGGGGGAAACCCUGAUGCAGCGACGCCGCGUGAGUGAGGAAGUAUUUCGGUAUGUAAAGCUCUAUCAGCAGGGAAGAAAAUGACGGUACCUGACUAAGAAGCCCCGGCUAACUACGUGCCAGCAGCCGCGGUAAUACGUAGGGGGCAAGCGUUAUCCGGAUUUACUGGGUGUAAAGGGAGCGUAGACGGUAUGGCAAGUCUGAUGUGAAAACCCGGGGCUCAACCCCGGGACUGCAUUGGAAACUGCCGAACUAGAGUGUCGGCGAGGCAA
rnacentral:rRNA from 1 species